rnacentral:rRNA from 1 species
AGGCCUAACACAUGCAAGUCGAGCGGUAGCACAGAGAAGCUUGCUUCUUGGGUGACGAGCGGCGGACGGGUGAGUAACGCGUGGGAAUCUACCUGGUAGUGGGGGACAACAGUCGGAAACGACUGCUAAUACCGCAUACGCCCUUCGGGGGAAAGUGGGGGAUCUUCGGACCUCACGCUAUCAGAUGAGCCCGCGUCGGAUUAGCUUGUUGGUGAGGUAAAGACUCACCAAGGCGAUGAUCCGUAGCUGGUCUGAGAGGAUGACCAGCCACACUGGGACUGAGACACGGCCCAGACUCCUACGGGAGGCAGCAGUGGGGAAUAUUGGACAAUGGGGGCAACCCUGAUCCAGCCAUGCCGCGUGUGUGAAGAAGGCCUUCGGGUUGUAAAGCACUUUCAGCUGUGAGGAAAGGUGAGUGGUUAAUACCCGCUUGCUGUGACGUUAACAGCAGAAGAAGG